rnacentral:lncRNA from 1 species
UGCAUCUCUACCCAUAAAUCAACUUAAAGCUUGUUUAAAACACAUAACAAGGGUGGAUCCGAGCUUACCUCUUGAAGAAACGAGAGGAAAGGCGAUCCUAGCUUGGAGAUGGAGAGAUUGAGCUCUUUGAACCUCCAAGUACCCAAAACUUGCUCUUUACUCACAAAUCUUCAAAACCGAAGUUAAAACCCGUGAAAACCAUGAAAGAUCUAAAGAAAACACUCAAGAUCGAGGGAGAAGCGGCGGGGACUCACCUUGGCCGACAACGGGGGAGAAAAAGCUCGCCCGUGCGGACCUAAGGGACCCUUUUAUAGUGGCUGGCCAGGCCACGUUCGGGGGCCGAAUGUGCCUCCGUAUCCAUGCAAUGUUCGGCGGCCGAACAUUAGGUUCGGCG